AUUGAACGCAGGCGGCAUGCUUUACACAUGCAAGUCGAACGGUAACAGGCCGCAAGGUGCUGACGAGUGGCGAACGGGUGAGUAAUGCAUCGGAACGUGCCCAGUCGUGGGGGAUAACGCAGCGAAAGCUGCGCUAAUACCGCAUACGAUCUAUGGAUGAAAGCGGGGGACCGUAAGGCCUCGCGCGAUUGGAGCGGCCGAUGUCAGAUUAGGUAGUUGGUGGGGUAAAGGCUCACCAAGCCAACGAUCUGUAGCUGGUCUGAGAGGACGACCAGCCACACUGGGACUGAGACACGGCCCAGACUCCUACGGGAGGCAGCAGUGGGGAAUUUUGGACAAUGGGCGCAAGCCUGAUCCAGCAAUGCCGCGUGCAGGAAGAAGGCCUUCGGGUUGUAAACUGCUUUUGUACGGAACGAAACGGUCCUGGUUAAUACCCGGGGCUAAUGACGGUACCGUAAGAAUAAGCACCGGCUAACUACGUGCCAGCCGCCGCCGUAA
rnacentral:rRNA from 1 species